UACGUAGGGGGCGAGCGUUAUCCGGAUUUAUUGGGCGUAAAGGGCUCGUAGGCGGUUCGUCGCGUCCGGUGUGAAAGUCCAUCGCUUAACGGUGGAUCCGCGCCGGGUACGGGCGGGCUUGAGUCUGGUAGGGGAAGGCGGAAUUCCCAGUGUAGCGGUGGAAUGCGCAGAUAUUGGGAAGAACACCGGCGGCGAAGGCGGCCUUCUGGGCCACGACUGACGCUGAGGCGCGAAAGCUAGGGGAGCGAACAGG
rnacentral:rRNA from 1 species